rnacentral:rRNA from 1 species
UAACAGGAUUAGAUACCCUGGUAGCCCACACCGUAAACGAUGAGUGCUAAGUGUUAGAGGGUUUCCGCCCUUUAGUGCUGCAGCUAACGCAUUAAGCACUCCGCCUGGGGAGUACGGUCGCAAGACUGAAACUCAAAGGAAUUGACGGGGGCCCGCACAAGCGGUGGAGCAUGUGGUUUAAUUCGAAGCAACGCGAAGAACCUUACCAGGUCUUGACAUCUUCUGACAACUCUAGAGAUAGAGCGUUCCCCUUCGGGGGACAGAGUGACAGGUGGUGCAUGGUUGUCGUCAGCUCGGGUCGUGAGAUGUUGGGUUAAGUCCCGCAACGAGCGCAACCCUUGAUCUUAGUUGCCAGCAUUUAGUUGGGCACUCUAAGGUGACUGCCGGUGACAAACCGGAGGAAGGUGGGGAUGACGUCAAAUCAUCAUGCCCCUUAUGACCUGGGCUACAUACGUGCUACAAUGGAUGGUACACAGGGCUGCAAGACCGCGAGGUCAAGCCAAUCCCAUAAAACCAUUCUCAGUUCGGAUUGUAGGCUGCAACUCGCCUACAUGAAACUGGAAUCGCUAGUAAUCGCGGAUCAACAUGCCGCGGUGAAUA